rfam:Nadsonia fulvescens var. elongata DSM 6958 unplaced genomic scaffold NADFTscaffold_3, whole genome shotgun sequence.
UUUAAUGAUGAUAAAUGUUUUACAAUUGAAUUUCUUCAACUCAAUCUUCCAUGUUGAAAUAAAUUACACAGAGCUUUUUAACCCUGAUA